GACGAACGCUGGCGGCGUGCUUAACACAUGCAAGUCGAACGGACAGGCCCUGCUUUUGUGGGGUGCUCGAGUGGCGAACGGGUGAGUAACACGUGAGUAACCUGCCCUUGACUUUGGGAUAAAUUCAGGAAACUGGGGCUAAUACCGGAUAGGAGAUACUGCUGCAUGGUGGGGGAUGGAAAGAUUCGGCGGUUGUGGCUGGAAUCGCGGCUUAUCCGCUUGUUGGUGGGGUAGUGGCUUACCAAGGCUUUGACGGGUAGCCGGCAUGAGAGGGUGGCCGGCCACAUGGCGACUGCGGGACGGCCCAGUCUCCUACGGGAGGCAGCAGUGGGGAAUAUUGCGCAAUGGGCGGAAGCCUGAGGCGGCAGCGCCGCGUGCGGGAUGACGGCCUUCGGGUUGUAAACCGCUUUCGCCUGUGACGAAGCGUGAGUGACGGUAAUGGGUAAAGAAGCACCGGCUAACUACGUG
rnacentral:rRNA from 1 species